GACGAACGCUGGCGGCGUGCUUAACACAUGCAAGUCGAACGGAAAGGCCCUGCUUUUGUGGGGUGCUCGAGUGGCGAACGGGUGAGUAACACGUGAGUAACCUGCCCUUGACUUUGGGAUAACUUCAGGAAACUGGGGCUAAUACCGGAUAGGAGCUCCUGCUGCAUGGUGGGGGUUGGAAAGUUUCGGCGGUUGGGGAUGGACUCGCGGCUUAUCAGCUUGUUGGUGGGGUAGUGGCUUACCAAGGCUUUGACGGGUAGCCGGCCUGAGAGGGUGACCGGCCAGAUUGGGCCUGAGGUACGGCCCAGACUCCUACGGGAGGCAGCAGUGGGGAAUAUUGCACAGUGAGCGGAAGCCUGCUGCAGCAACGCCGCGUGCGGGAUGACGGCCUUCGGGUUGUAACCCGCUUUCGCCUGUGACGAAGCGUGAGUGACGGUAAUGGGUAACGAAGCACCGGCUAACUACGUG
rnacentral:rRNA from 1 species